CGGGACGUAGCGCAGCCCGGUAGCGCACUAGCAUGGGGUGCCAGGUAUCGCAAGUUCCCUGCCCGACUGCGUCACGCAGGCGGGGAAUCUUGUCGUCCCGA
rnacentral:tRNA from 1 species